GACGAACGCUGGCGGCGUGCCUAAUACAUGCAAGUCGAGCGAGCGGAACUAACAGAUUUACUUCGGUAAUGACGUUAGGAAAGCGAGCGGCGGAUGGGUGAGUAACACGUGGGGAACCUGCCCCAUAGUCUGGGAUACCACUUGGAAACAGGUGCUAAUACCGGAUAAGAAAGCAGAUCGCAUGAUCAGCUUUUAAAAGGCGGCGUAAGCUGUCGCUAUGGGAUGGCCCCGCGGUGCAUUAGCUAGUUGGUAAGGUAAAGGCUUACCAAGGCGAUGAUGCAUAGACGAGUCGAGAGACUGAUCGGCCACAUUGGGACUGAGACACGGCCAAAGCUCCUACGGGAGGCAGCAGUAGGCAAUCUUCCACAAUGGACGCAAGUCUGAUGGAGCAACGCCGCGUGAGUGAAGAAGGUUUUCGGAUCGUAAAGCUCUGUUGUUGGUGAAGAAGGAUAGAGGUAGUAACUGGCCUUUAUUUGACGGUAAUCAACCAGAAAGUCACGGCUAACUACGUG
rnacentral:rRNA from 1 species